AGGGCAGGAUGGUUUUAGUAAACAGACAAGUGACAAUAAGAUGGAUGAAGGAAGAGAAGAAGAGCUGAGGGAGGCUGCUCUUUGACGCUUCACCUUGGUGUGAUGAAUAAAAGAGAAAGAAUGGACUCUUUUUCAGUACCUGGAGAUCUACAAGAAGGUUGAGAGACAAUGUCCUCCAUGAUUUUUCAGGCAAUUGAUAACAUCGCUCAACCGGAGCUGCUGGGAGCUGCUUCGUUUUGGGUGUUUGAUGCUAUCAGCUGUACCAGGGAAAUCCAAGCCACCAGUGGAUGCUCAAAUCUGAGUCGAACAAAGACCAAAGAGGCAGAGAGCAGACUUCCUGCAGCCCUUCUGAGGCCCAACUGAAGACAUUUCUGUGAUAAAGAUGACAGAAAGCAGCAGCAAACCUCGGCUUCCCUGGGGAAAGUCCGCCCCAGAGCUAGGGAAAGCAUCCAGUGUUCUUUUCAUGGGAAAAUACGUCUUUGUUCAGAGAAGGAGGUGAGUAAAUGAAGCCUUCUGCAACCCUGGGAGCCAAGGAUCAGCAACCACUGGCUGCCCCGUAGCCCAGAUAGGACAAAGUGAGGAAAAUAAACAAUUUCCUCUUGUGAUGUUUGGGAAAAUAGAAUUUGACACUAGGUCCCGGAGAGUAAUAAAGUAUAACCGUACAUAGGUUUUAAUCUAUGCCAUUUUCUAGGAAAUUGGACAAAAGUAUUUCUUCCAAGUAUAAUCAGAAGUGUUGUUUCCUACCUGUUUUUAUUUACCUUGUUUAAGAGAUAUUGGACACUAGCUAGUCUCUGGGCUGUAAAUGGCUGCAGGGAGAGUGAAGGGCUCUUUGUCUUCCCACAUUGUUUUAAAUAUUGCAUUAAUGUUGAUCUAGGUGGAAGACAUAACUUUACAUUGAUUACAAUGUAAAUGAGAUUAUAAGUGCAUGCAUAAGAAUUUUUGGACAGUCCUUGUUGGGAAGGGAGCCCCAGAUUCACUGCCAUGACCUACAUGCCACCGACUGCAGUGAAAUCAACCUAAUGAUAUGGGAAUGUCUUUCUGUAUAUGUGCUGUUUUUACUGGUUAAUGAAUAAAGCUGUCUUGGCCAAUG